rnacentral:rRNA from 1 species
UACGGAGGGGCUAGCGUUGCUCGGAAUCACUGGGGCGUAAAGGGUGCGUAGGCGGGUCUUUAAGUCAGGGGUGAAAUCCUGGAGCUCAACUCCAGAACUGCCUUUGAUACUGAGGAUCUUGAGUUCGGGAGAGGUGAGUGGAACUGCGAGUGUUAGAGGUGAAAUUCGUAGAUAUUCGCAAGAACACCAGUGGCGAAGGCGGCUCACUGGCCCGAUACUGACGCUGAGGCACGAAAGCG